rnacentral:lncRNA from 1 species
CAAUUCUUUGUCACCAUCUUCCCUUCUCAGCCUCUUUUUCCAUGCUAAGAGGCAUAAAUGAAAUGAUAAAAGUUUGAGCUCUUCUCAUGGAAUUCUUGUGAUACAGAUAUGUGCUACAUGUUCACUAUCUCAUUGGUCUUCACCAUGAUAACUGUGGAGUAAGAAUUAUCAGCAGUUCGCAGAUUAUGGACUUGAGACUGACAGUUUGGCUUCCCUGUUCCAGGUGGCAAAGCCUGUGGGGUAUUCACCUACCUGCUGCAUGAAGGCAGCAUGGAGGGACUGUGGUGGAUUAUCUGCAAAGAUGGCCCAAAUUCUCUCAUCCCUGCAGGUACAUACAAGAUGCCAGAAUCAGUCAAAACUAAGCUCACUGUCCUUGCUAAUAUUCUGCCCCAGAGGAGAACUGAAGCUCAGCUAUUCACCCUACAGAAAGCCUGAAUUUUGUAAAUGUUCUGCUUAGAAUGAGGAAGAAAGAUGAAGAAUGAGGAGGAAGAAGGGAGGAACAAGAGAGAGAGGUAAAGCCAACAAGCAGAACAGACCUACAUUUGCAGCAUCUCCAAGUUUCUGCAACAGCUUUAUGUUGUUGUUAUGUUUUGUUUUAAUAAAAGCACAUACCAUUUU